AGGCGCGUAGCUCAGGGGGAGAGCGCUACCUCGACACGGUAGAAGUCAAGAGUUCAAAUCUCUUCGCGCCUACCA
rnacentral:tRNA from 3 species